CCAGAGUCUGAAUCAGCUUGUGUGUUAGUGGAACGGUCUGGAAAGUCCGACGGUACAGGGUGAUAGUCCCGUACACCAAAAUGCACAGGCUGUGAACUCGAAGAGUAGGGCGGGACACGUGGUAUCCUGUCUGAAUAUGGGGGGACCAUCCUCCAAGGCUAAAUACUCCUGACUGACCGAUAGUGAACCAGUACCGUGAGGGAAAGGCGAAAAGAACCCCGGCGAGGGGAGUGAAAAAGAACCUGAAACCGUGUACGUACAAGCAGUGGGAGCACCUUCGGGUGUGACUGCGUACCUUUUGUAUAAUGGGUCAGCGACUUAUAUUCUGUAGCAAGGUUAACCGUAUAGGGGAGCCGCAGGGAAACCGAGUCUUAACUGGGCGUUAAGUUGCAGGGUAUAGACCCGAAACCCGGUGAUCUAGCCAUGGGCAGGUUGAAGGUUGGGUAACACUAACUGGAGGACCGAACCGACUAAUGUUGAAAAAUUAGCGGAUGACUUGUGGCUGGGGGUGAAAGGCCAAUCAAACCGGGAGAUAGCUGGUUCUCCCCGAAAGCUAUUUAGGUAGCGCCUCGUGAAUUCAUCUUCGGGGGUAGAGCACUGUUUCGGCUAGGGGGUCAUCCCGACUUACCAACCCGAUGCAAACUACGAAUACCGAAGAAUGUUAUCACGGGAGACACACGGCGGGUGCUAACGUCCGUCGUGAAGAGGGAAACAACCCAGACCGCCAGCUAAGGUCCCAAAGUCAUGGUUAAGUGGGAAACGAUGUGGGAAGGCCAAGACAGCCAGGAUGUUGGCUUAGAAGCAGCCAUCCUUUAAAGAAAGCGUAAUAGCUCACUGGUCGAGUCGGCCUGCGCGGAAGAUGUAACGGGGCUAAACCAUGCACCGAAGCUGCGGCAGCGACGCUUAUGCGUUGUUGGGUAGGGGAGCGUUCUGUAAGCCUGUGAAGGUGUGCUGUGAGGCAUGCUGGAGGUAUCAGAAGUGCGAAUGCUGACAUAAGUAACGAUAAAGCGGGUGAAAAGCCCGCUCGCCGGAAGACCAAGGGUUCCUGUCCAACGUUAAUCGGGGCAGGGUGAGUCGACCCCUAAGGCGAGGCCGAAAGGCGUAGUCGAUGGGAAACAGGUUAAUAUUCCUGUACUUGGUGUUACUGCGAAGGGGGGACGGAGAAGGCUAUGUUGGCCGGGCGACGGUUGUCCCGGUUUAAGCAUGUAGGCUGGUUGUCCAGGCAAAUCCGGAUAAUCAAGGCUGAGGUGUGAUGACGAGGCACUACGGUGCUGAAGUAACAAAUGCCCUGCUUCCAGGAAAAGCCUCUAAGCAUCAGGUAACAUCAAAUCGUACCCCAAACCGACACAGGUGGUCAGGUAGAGAAUACCAAGGCGCUUGAGAGAACUCGGGUGAAGGAACUAGGCAAAAUGGUGCCGUAACUUCGGGAGAAGGCACGCUGGUGUGUAGGUGAAGUCCCUGCGGAUGGAGCUGAGACCAGUCGAAGAUACCAGCUGGCUGCAACUGUUUAUUAAAAACACAGCACUGUGCAAACACGAAAGUGGACGUAUACGGUGUGACGCCUGCCCGGUGCCGGAAGGUUAAUUGAUGGGGUUAGCGGUAACGCGAAGCUCUUGAUCGAAGCCCCGGUAAACGGCGGCCGUAACUAUAACGGUCCUAAGGUAGCGAAAUUCCUUGUCGGGUAAGUUCCGACCUGCACGAAUGGCGUAAUGAUGGCCAGGCUGUCUCCACCCGAGACUCAGUGAAAUUGAACUCGCUGUGAAGAUGCAGUGUACCCGCGGCAAGACGGAAAGACCCCGUGAACCUUUACUAUAGCUUGACACUGAACAUUGAGCCUUGAUGUGUAGGAUAGGUGGGAGGCUUUGAAGUGUGGACGCCAGUCUGCAUGGAGCCGACCUUGAAAUACCACCCUUUAAUGUUUGAUGUUCUAACGUUGGCCCCUUACCGGGGUUGCGGACAGUGUCUGGUGGGUAGUUUGACUGGGGCGGUCUCCUCCCAAAGAGUAACGGAGGAGCACGAAGGUUGGCUAAUCCUGGUCGGACAUCAGGAGGUUAGUGCAAUGGCAUAAGCCAGCUUGACUGCGAGCGUGACGGCGCGAGCAGGUGCGAAAGCAGGUCAUAGUGAUCCGGUGGUUCUGAAUGGAAGGGCCAUCGCUCAACGGAUAAAAGGUACUCCGGGGAUAACAGGCUGAUACCGCCCAAGAGUUCAUAUCGACGGCGGUGUUUGGCACCUCGAUGUCGGCUCAUCACAUCCUGGGGCUGAAGUAGGUCCCAAGGGUAUGGCUGUUCGCCAUUUAAAGUGGUACGCGAGCUGGGUUUAGAACGUCGUGAGACAGUUCGGUCCCUAUCUGCCGUGGGCGCUGGAGAAUUGAGGGGGGCUGCUCCUAGUACGAGAGGACCGGAGUGGACGCAUCACUGGUGUUCGGGUUGUCAUGCCAAUGGCACUGCCCGGUAGCUAAAUGCGGAAGAGAUAAGUGCUGAAAGCAUCUAAGCACGAAACUUGCCCCGAGAUGAGUUCUCCCUGACUCCUUGAGAGUCCUGAAGGAACGUUGAAGACGACGACGUUGAUAGGCCGGGUGUGUAAGCGCAGCGAUGCGUUGAGCUAACCGGUACUAAUGAACCGUGAGGCUUAACCUU
rnacentral:rRNA from 1 species